rnacentral:rRNA from 1 species
AUUGAACGCUGGCGGCAUGCCUCACACAUGCAAGUCGAACGGCAGCGGGGGAGAAGCUUGCUUUUCCUGCCGGCGAGUGGCGAACGGGUGAGUAAUACAUCGGAACGUGCCCUGUAGUGGGGGAUAACUAGUCGAAAGAUUAGCUAAUACCGCAUACGACCUGAGGGUGAAAGUGGGGGACCGCAAGGCCUCGUGCUAUAGGAGCGGCCGAUGUCGGAUUAGCUAGUUGGUGGGGUAAAGGCCUACCAAGGCGACGAUCAGUAGCUGGGCUGAGAGGACGAUCAGCCAAACUGGGACUGAGACACGGCCCAGACUCCUAGGGGAGGCAGCAGUGGGGAAUUUUGGACAAUGGGCGAAAGCCUGAUCCAGCAAUGCCGCGUGUGUGAAGAAGGCCUUCGGGUUGUAAAGCACUUUUGUCCGGAAAGAAAUGGCUCUGGUUAAUACCUGGGGUCGAUGACGGUACCGGAAGAAUAAGGACCGGCUAACUACGUGCCAGCCGCCGCCGUAA